AUGCUCACAGUAGACGAGAUUGAAAAUGCCUGGACUAUAUUGAUGGAAAAGUAUAAUCUGAAACAGCACCCAUACAUGAUAGAGUUAUAUGAAAUCAGGACCAAGUGGGUGAAGCCUUAUAUCAAGGGGGUUCUCUGUGCAAGAAUGACAAGCACACAACACAACAAGAGUGCUAAUAAUAUGCUGAAAACGUAUAUGCCUCGUGCCAUUGCAGUGCACAUGUUUGUGAGCCAGUACAUAUGGCUCCAGUUUGACCGUGAACGCGAUGAGAGCUACAAGGAGAAAAGAACAAGGAUUUUAAAGUGUAGCCGUGCGGCGUAUAAACCCUGUGAUCGAGAGGCAUGCAAUCAAGGUUUAUACUCGAGACAUGUUCUAGUAGUUUGGUCAGUUCCUUGUUGA
rnacentral:rRNA from 1 species